UUGUUUAGAUUGCUCUGAGACUCUACAAUCCCAAAAGCCUAUGAUCAUACCUAUAUAUUCAAAAGUUCAAGAAUUUUAACGUUGUUUGCAGGAAAAUCUCCCCAUAAAUUACAGUAGGUAUAUGAUCAUAACUAUAAAUUACAGAUUACAAAUGCAUAAAUCACAUUAACUUAUCUAUAUAGUACAUCAAAUAAAUACAUUUUCAAAGUAAAAAUUCUCUCUUCUCUAUCUAGAAACGGCUACCUGAUGACUAUUUUUUAAACGAGUAUGUAGGAAAACAAUUUAAAGGUAGAAGACCUUUAAAUGUAAGAAGGAAAGAGAUUUUGUUUAGUUGAUAAAUGAAGAAAUGGAGGUAGUUUGGAAGGUUUAAUAUAUGUAGCUAUAUGGAGAGAGACUUUUGUAAUUCUUCAACUUUUAUUACACAAGGAAUCACUUUGGUACACACUUGGGUUCACACUUUUUUGUGCAUCCUACAAAUGAGGAGGUCUUCCCUAUUUAUAGGCAUCAACCUCGAUGUUCUACGACAUUCUAGAAUAUUCCAUAUAAGUGUCCUAAACAAUAUUCAUAUCUACCUAUUCUCAUAUGUUCUAGAAUAUUCCACUACUCUAGAAUAUUCUCACAUUCUCUACUAUACAUAAAAGAGUUNNNNNN
rnacentral:lncRNA from 1 species